rnacentral:lncRNA from 10 species
CAUUUUGAAAGUGACCUCAUCUGCUGAGUGAGCUGCAGGGCCGGGAUCCAACACCAGGUGCUGAAUGUGGAGAGGCAAAUAAAAUGGACACACAAGCCUUGACCUCUUGGAGUGAUUAUGAUCAAGAUUAUGAUCAUUGUGACACACAUUAAUCCAGGAAGCAAACAAGUGUGAAAACAGAGCUGCAGAGGUGACACUUGGAUGCCCCCUGGCCAGGUGGUGACUAGAGAUCUGUGAGUCUGUGAGCAUAGCUCUGCUUCAUGCUGCAGAUCUUCAGGUUGGCUGGGGUGGCUGAGUGUGUGGCUCAGACUGAAGGAACAGCAGCUACCCAAGGUUAGCUCUUCUCCUGGUGAAGCGUGGAAAGAACAGACGGGUGAGUGGGCAGACAGACGCCUUUUGAGACCUCUUCAGAGAAGGGGUACACUGUCAGGUGCACACACAUGCGUUAGUACAGCAAGUCAUAUGCUUGCAAUAUGAUUUUCAAUACCAGUAGGGAGGGGAGAAAAACUGCCCCCUGUAGGGGAGGUGCUACAACAUCACAUGGUGGAAGGUGAUGUUAAUUUUUUUUUUUUUUUUUUUUUGAGACAGAGUCUCGCUAUGCCGUCAGGCUGGAGUGCAGUGGUGCUAUCUUGGCUCACUGCAAGCUCCGCCUCCUGGGUUCACGCCAUUCUCCCACCUCAGCCUCCCGAGUAGCUGGGACUACAGGUACCCGACACCACGCCCGGCUAAUAUUUUGUAUUUUUAGUAGAGACGGGGUUUCACCGUGUUAUCCAGGGUGGUCUAGAUCUCCUGAUCUCGUGAUCCACCCGCCUUGGCCUCCCAAAGAGCUGGGAUUACAGGCGUGAGCCACCACACCUGGCCGAUGUUAAUUAAUUUUGUAGGGAGGUUGUGAAAAAUUAUCAGCAAUAAUUCAAUCUGUCUCAGGGGUAAAGUAGCUAGACUUGACUUUUUGAGAUGAUUCACUUGGGAAGUUGUGUGGAAAGCAGAUUCGAGAGAGGUGAUGCAGUAGUCAGAGGGACCAGUGAGAAGGGCCAGGUGAGACUUAGUGAGAACCUAGGCUGAGUAACAGUGAGCUGGGGGGAAAUAGAGUUGACUGAAGAAAAUUAUAUGAUAUAAAACCAUCAGGACUAAAGACGUAGGGUCAUUUAUGGCUGGUUUUCAGAAAUCUCCAUUUAAUAUACCCAACUUAAAACACUGUCCUAGCUUCCCUUGCAGCUGGGAGGUGAUUAUAUGGUAAGCUCUGCCUAUUAGAACAUAAACAAAAUUCACUGGGUCAAUUACCAGGAUUUUUUUUUUUUUUUUUGAGACAGGGUCUCACUCUUUCGACCAGAGUGGAGUGCAGUGGCACGAUCCUGGCUCACCACAACCUCCGCGUCCCAGGCUCAAGCGAUUCUCCUGCCUCAGCCUCCCGAUAGCUGGGAUUAUAGGCACGCACCACCAUGCCCAGCUAAUUUUUGUAUUUUUAGUAAAGAUGGGGUUUCACCAUAUUGGCCAGGCUGGUCUUGAAUUCCUGACCUCAAAUGAUCCACCUGCAUCGGACGCCCAAAGUGCUGGGAUUACAGUUAUGAGCCACCGCCCCCGGCCACCAGGAAAAGUUUUUAAAGGGGCAUGUGCCCCUUUGCAGUUGUUAUUACCUUCUUCCUGCCUUACACGUAGCUGGAUGGCUAGAGUUCCACCAACCAUGUUAUGGACACGAGGCAAUCAUCCCAAAGGGGACUGAGCUGAGAGAAGGAGCCUAAGAUUUUGACGACCUCAUGAAGAUACCAUACCAGCCCUCAGCUGCCUCUCUUUAGAAUACCAGGUAGGUGAGAAAAAAUAAAUGACUUUUUUAAAGUGACUGUUUUUUGAGUUUCUGUUUUUAGCAGUCAAAUGAAGCUCCUGACACCAUACAUGACCUUAGCAACAUGAAGCAACAUUAUUCAUUCAUGCAGAUAAUUAUUAUUCUGAAUCAAUGACCAAAAUUAGAAACAUGAAAACCUUAAGGUGAUCUAGCUCAACUGUAAUCCACUGCUAGUGUAUAUAAUUUGUGGAGACUUUUUUUUUUUUUUUGGCUUUCCUUCUUCCUUGUCUUCCCAACACAAGUCUAAUUUUUCCUCUCAGCCAUCUCUCUGAUUUCUCAUAUCUAUUUGGUGUUAACUGAUCAGAGGGAGUUAGCAGAGAAGGGGGCUGGCUGUUUCAUUUUAGAAUACGACUCUUGAAGAACCCGUGAUGGAGGAAUAAACAGAAGUCCUGGUUCCUAUUUCUAGACAAGAGGCUGCCCAAUGUAAUAUGUAAUAUCAGUAAUAGUAAGGUUGCAUUUCUGUAGGGUGGCUCGAUCAAGCGCUUCUUGUAUACCAUAUCAUUAGCUGCCCGAGGGCCAGUAAGGUCGGAUGGUUUGUUCAAGGACAAGAACUAACAAGUAACAGAGAUAGGACUUAUCUUUUUCUGACCUUCACUUUCCCUUUCUGUGACAAAACUGGUCUUAGGAACUGUGUUGAGCAGAGCCUUCUGUGGGCGUGAGAGCGGCUUGGAGGUGUCAAAGAAAAAUUGCAUCCGAUAUAGUUAAACAGACAAGGGGGAAUUAUUCAAGGCUAUUGCAAUAGGGAAGAGAGAGAGGGAGGGAGAGGGGAACUAGUAGAAGACUAGUGGAGGAGAUUAGGAUGGGAAGUUGGUCAGUGUAAUGAGGCCAUUUGUGUUUCCUAAUUGGAACUUAUUAAAGUUAGGCUCCUCCUCUCCACAAACACUAGGAGAUAGGGACCCUUUUUUCCUUGAUGAUUACAUUUCAAAGGGAUGCCUCACAGAUCCCUGAGAAAGAUCCCCAGGCUGUAAAACCCAGCAAGAGGCGGAGAGAUUUACAUGUCAAAGGGUCAGAGGAAACAUUCACCAAUGGAAGUUGGCUAAAGUAAAUGCUCUGAGAAAAGGAAGGUCUGGGGCCUACAGUUAGGAAGAAACCUGUCUAAAGUUUAGUUAAGCUGAGGGGAAUGUUAAGGCCAUUUGGUCACCGUAAGCAGUACCACAUUUCCUUGCCUCUCCCGGGAGCCAGGUCUCAGUGUCCCCAAUAGGG